rnacentral:rRNA from 1 species
GAAUUCGCCCUUAGAGUUUGAUCCUGGCUCAGAUUGAACGCUGGCGGCAGGCCUAACACAUGCAAGUCGAACGGUAACAGGAAACAGCUUGCUGUUUCGCUGACGAGUGGCGGACGGGUGAGUAAUGUCUGGGAAACUGCCUGAUGGAGGGGGAUAACUACUGGAAACGGUAGCUAAUACCGCAUAACGUCGCAAGACCAAAGAGGGGGACCUUCGGGCCUCUUGCCAUCGGAUGUGCCCAGAUGGGAUUAGCUUGUUGGUGGGGUAACGGCUCACCAAGGCGACGAUCCCUAGCUGGUCUGAGAGGAUGACCAGCCACACUGGAACUGAGACACGGUCCAGACUCCUACGGGAGGCAGCAGUGGGGAAUAUUGCACAAUGGGGGAAACCCUGAUGCAGCAACGCCGCGUGAGUGAUGAAGGUCUUCGGAUUGUAAAGCUCUGUCUUUAGGGACGAUAAUGACGGUACCUAAGGAGGAAGCCACGGCUAACUACGUGCCAGCAGCCGCGGUAAUACGUAGGUGGCAAGCGUUAUCCGGAUUUACUGGGCGUAAAGGGAGCGUAGGCGGAUAUUUAAGUGGGAUGUGAAAUACCCGAGCUUAACUUGGGAGCUGCAUUCCAAACUGGAUAUCUAGAGUGCAGGAGAGGAGAAUAAAAUUCCUAGUGUAGCGGUGAAAUGCGUAGAGAUUAGGAAGAACACCAGUGGCGAAGGCGAUUCUCUGGACUGUAACUGACGCUGAGGCUCGAAAGCGUGGGUAGCAAACAGGAUUAGAUACCCUGGUAGUCCACGCCGUAAACGAUGAAUGCUAAGUGUUGGAGGGUUUCCGCCCUUCAGUGCUGCAGCUAACGCAAUAAGCAUUCCGCCUGGGGAGUACGACCGCAAGGUUGAAACUCAAAGGAAUUGACGGGGGCCCGCACAAGCGGUGGAGCAUGUGGUUUAAUUCGAUGCAACGCGAAGAACCUUACCUGGUCUUGACAUCCACGGAAGUUUUCAGAGAUGAGAAUGUGCCUUCGGGAACCGUGAGACAGGUGCUGCAUGGCUGUCGUCAGCUCGUGUUGUGAAAUGUUGGGUUAAGUCCCGCAACGAGCGCAACCCUUAUCCUUUGUCGCCAGCGGUCCGGCCGGGAACUCAAAGGAGACUGCCAGUGAUAAACUGGAGGAAGGUGGGGAUGACGUCAAGUCAUCAUGGCCCUUACGACCAGGGCUACACACGUGCUACAAUGGCGCAUACAAAGAGAAGCGACCUCGCGAGAGCAAGCGGACCUCAUAAAGUGCGUCGUAGUCCGGAUUGGAGUCUGCAACUCGACUCCAUGAAGUCGGAAUCGCUAGUAAUCGUGGAUCAGAAUGCCACGGUGAAUACGAUCCCGGGCCUUGCACACACCGCCCGUCA